ensembl:lncRNA
UGAACUCAUUCAUCCCCGAGGGAACAAGGCAAACGGCUGGUCCGUCUUACUAAGUAUGCGGUUGUCGUGCGGUCAACGGCCCUGGAGACGGAUUGCAAACCACCCGCUUGGCUGUCAUGCAGACCAGGUGCUGUUUGCUAUUGGCAUGACUGGUCAGGUACUGUUUGUGAAAGUUGUCAGUGAAUUUGUAAAAAGACCCAGAUUUGUCCGCUCUAGCCAGGAACGUACGACAGAAGUGCAUCGGAGUCCCAUCGUAGUCGAAUCAGUUCCCAGGAAAUAGAGUAUGUUGCCUGGAAUAAGUGAGGAGACAAUCUUAUUCAAGCAAUACACCAACCACAGCCUGAGAAGCACAGAGCAGCAGUGCCACAGGCUGCGCAGCAAGAGGCACAGCAGGAUGCACAGCAAUCAAGCACCUACUACGCUCCCCUGGCCAAUCGUACAACCAACCCAGCAGAAAACUCCUCCUCACACAAACCUACUGGCCCACUUGAACUCCAGUUUUCAAACCAUUUAGGGUUGUGGAUUUAAAUGUUUUAAGCACAUUAUAUAAUAUUUUUAGAUAUUCUGAAUAUGGACAGAAGUAUCUGGGAAUGAGAUUACUGUUGAGAUUACUAUGAAAAGC